rnacentral:rRNA from 1 species
UACGGGGGGGGCAAGCGUUGUUCGGAAUUACUGGGCGUAAAGGGCUCGUAGGCGGCCAACUAAGUCGGAUGUGAAAUCCCCAGGCUUAACCUGGGAUUUGCAUCCGAUACUGGAUGGCUUGAAUCCGGGAGAGGGAUGCGGAAUUCCAGGUGUAGCGGUGAAAUGCGUAGAUAUCUGGAGGAACACCGGUGGCGAAGGCGGCAUCCUGGACCGGCAUUGACGCUGAGGAGCGAAAGCCAGGGGAGCAAACGGG